rnacentral:rRNA from 1 species
CCUACGGGGUGCUGCAGUGGGGAAUAUUGGACAAUGGGCGAAAGCCUGAUCCAGCCAUGCCGCGUGUGUGAAGAAGGCCUUCGGGUUGUAAAGCACUUUCAGUGGGGAAGAAAGCCUUGGGGCUAAUACCCUCGAGGAAGGACAUCACCCACAGAAGAAGCACCGGCUAACUCCGUGCCAGCAGCCGCGGUAAUACGGAGGGUGCGAGCGUUAAUCGGAAUUACUGGGCGUAAAGCGCGCGUAGGCGGUCUUAUAAGCCGGUUGUGAAAGCCCCGGGCUCAACCUGGGAACGGCAUCCGGAACUGUCAGGCUAGAGUGCAGGAGAGGAAGGUAGAAUUCCCGGUGUAGCGGUGAAAUGCGUAGAGAUCGGGAGGAAUACCAGUGGCGAAGGCGGCCUUCUGGACUGACACUGACGCUGAGGUGCGAAAGCGUGGGUAGCAAACAGGAUUAGAUACCCCAGUAGUC